CCCGCAAGGGUGAGUAAAGCGGCGCACGGGUGCGUAACACGUGGGUAAUCUUCCUUGGAGCCCGGAAUAACUCCCCGAAAGGGGUGCUAAUGCCGGAUGAGACCACGGGAUCCCCGGAUCCUGAGGGAAAAGGCGGCCUCUGUACACAAGCUGUCACUCCAAGAUGAGCCCGCGGCCCAUCAGCUAGUUGGCGGGGUAAUGGCCCACCAAGGCUACGACGGGUAGCUGGUCUGAGAGGACGAUCAGCCACACUGGAACUGAGACACGGUCCAGACUCCUACGGGAGGCAGCAGUGGGGAAUCUUGCGCAAUGGGCGAAAGCCUGACGCAGCAACGCCGCGUGUGUGAUGAAGGUCUUCGGAUCGUAAAGCACUGUCGGGAGGGACGAAUAAGGCGGCGGCUAACAUCCGCAGCCGAUGACGGUACCUCCAAAGGAAGCACCGGCUAACUCUGUGCCAGCAGCCGCGGUAAUACAGAGGGUGCUAGCGUUGUUCGGAAUUAUUGGGCGUAAAGCGCGUGUAGGCGGCCUUGCAAGUUGGGUGUGAAAGCCCUCGGCUUAACCGAGGAAGUGCGCCCAAAACUACAGGGCUUGAGUACCGGAGAGGGUGGCGGAAUUCCCGGUGUAGAGGUGAAAUUCGUAGAUAUCGGGAGGAACACCAGUGGCGAAGGCGGCCACCUGGACGGAUACUGACGCUGAGACGCGAAAGCGUGGGUAGCAAACAGGAUUAGAUACCCUGGUAGUCCACGCUGUAAACGAUGAGCGCUAGGUGUUGUGGGUGUUGACCCCCGCAGUGCCGCAGCUAACGCAUUAAGCGCUCCGCCUGGGAAGUACGGCCGCAAGGCUAAAACUCA
rnacentral:rRNA from 1 species